rnacentral:ncRNA from 1 species
UCGGGACCAAGCAACCUCCCGAUCAGGCUUCCGGCCCAAGCGUUGC